CUCUUAAGAAUAGGGUCACACAGACAGGGCCGCCAUCAGGGGGGUACAGUAAGGGGCCCGGACCCUCAGGGGAGCCCACUUGGCCCCAACAGUCUUUCUUGUGAGGAGGGCAGCACACUGUCACUUUAAAAUGGCAGGGGCUGCAGUUGGUAUGAGACAUGCCUGUGCGCGACUCUUAGUUACCAGCAGGGCCUGCUAGUAGCAGCUGGCCAGUGACGUCGGCUCACGUGUCCCUCCUCUUCCUGCCCAGUUCUGCAAUAGAGGAGCGGAGCAGCAAGCUACACUGCACACAGCUAUCCAGAAAUGUUUAUUAACGUUGUCCAGACACAAAUGGAGGCCUUUGAUAAUCUAGUGGGCAUUCUGGGUCCACAUCUUGAACACCAGGACACCAGAUUGUAACAAGCCAUUUCUCCAAAGAAGAGUCUGCUGAUCACAUUUUGCUAUGUGUCGCACUUCAGUAUAGCUGAUGAACUGAGCUGUAAGGCAAGCCAAAAUCAUACGAAUUCCUUGCCUAACAAUAGAAGAGCAUCUGGCAUUUCCCAAGGAUAUGAAUGGAUACACACUCUACACAUAGGGCAGAGACAGACAGUUGAGAAUACAGAAUAGCAUCUGAUGGGAGCAGGCUGGCAGGAAGGUAAACAGAUGGUCUGGCAGCAGAGAAACCAGAUGGCUUGGCAAAAAGUGACUAUACUUCAAGCAAUGGAUGGAGCUGAGUGUAGAACACUGGAAAAAUUGCAUGGUAAAAGUCCUUAAAAGGUUGAAUCUGUGGACCACACUCUGAACAGUUUUGAUGUUUGUGUCAAGUUAUCAUCAUUACAUUACAGUGAUCACUUGUUGAGAACAUAACAGCUGAUAAGUAGAAGAGACUUUAUCAGCAAAAACCAUCUGUUAGGAACAUACUCCAAAUUAGGUUUUGUUGGUUUAGAUGCCAGACCUUGCUGAAGGCAAAAUUCCAUUCAGAUAGGAAACAGGUGCCUGAUGAAGAUCAGAAUACAAAAUAUUAAAUUUUUUCUUUAAACUAGAUUCAGUCUAUUGCGGUACUCGCACAAAUGGAGUACCAUGGGCCCACCAUAGAAAAUAUUACUGGCCCACCAUCUUAUCAAUUUGCCGUAGAUGAAGGUGUCGCUGUGUCAAAAACAAUUCACAUAAUUACUUUCAAUUAAUGAAAUCCUGAAUUUCUGGAAUAAAAUUACCCUUUUUUUUUAAUUUUACUGGAACCAUUUUCCUCCCACUUUCCCUGCUUGAUAUUAUCAGACAUGUUGUUAAAGAUCUAAAUAAAGAUCUCGGUAUA